rnacentral:tRNA from 1 species
GGAGGGGUGGCAGAGUGGUCGAAUGCACCGGUUUGCUAAACCGGCGUAGGAGUCAAAUCCUACCGCGGGUUCGAAUCCCGCCCCUUCCG